UACGUAGGUGGCAAGCGUUGUCCGGAAUUAUUGGGCGUAAAGCGCGCGCAGGCGGCUUCUUAAGUCUGAUGUGAAAUCUCGGGGCUCAACCCCGAGCGGCCAUUGGAACUGGGAAGCUUGAGUACAUAAGAGGAGAGUGGAAUUCCACGUGUAGCGGUGAAAUGCGUAGAUAUGUGGAGGAACACCAGUGGCGAAGGCGACUCUCUGGUCUGUAACUGACGCUGAGGCGCGAAGGCGUGGGGAGCAAACAGG
rnacentral:rRNA from 1 species